AAACCAAGAUGAUUAAGUCAUGUAUUUUCGGUAAAAAGAUAGUUAAGUAGAGAACAAAGUUAUAUAAAUUGUUAUUAAGAAGUAAAAUUCGUAAAUAACUUAGAAAUUUAAUUACAACUAAAAAACUGAAGCUAUGACACCCUAGAGGGAAACUGGGAUUAGAUACCCCACUAUUCUUGGGCAUAAAGAAAUAUAGAUUUACCAGAGUACUAUGGAUCGAUGACAUUUAAAACUCAAAGAGCUUGGCGGUGUUUUAGACUCUUUAGGGGAACCUGUCUCAUAAUCGACAAUCCACGUAGAACCUGACCCUUAUUUGCUUACAGUUUGUAUACCGUCGUCGUCAGGUAACUUUUUAGAAAAAAGAAGUUAGCAACUGAGUUUUUAUAAUCUCUCACGUCAGAUCAAGGUGCAGCUAAUAUAAGGGGGAGGAUGGGUUACAAUUAUAAUAUUCAUAAUUACGGAAUAACAGUUUUAAAUAACAGUUAUGAAGGAGGACUUAAAAGUAAAACUAAAUAUAUAAAAGUAUUGAAUCAAGCUCUGAAACGUGC
rnacentral:rRNA from 1 species